UCUCAACAAAAUUUUAUGACUGUUUUUGCAUCAAGAGCAAAGUAUUUAUCUUUUAUUACAACAAUCUUUUUAAAGCAAAGCAUUUCGUAACAAAAGUAGUGUAACCGAGGGAUGCUGCACACAAAAGUGAAAUGGUGCAAAGUUACGUACAUACCAACAGACAUCACUGCCACCAACCAGAGCUUGUGCUUAGAAACCCUUCACGAAAUCGCUCGUACCAGCAUCUUCAUGUCCUUACUUCCAAAGUUAUUCAAAGCACUAUAUUCAAAAAACGGAUUGCACACUGCAUGCUAAAACAAAUUUUAAAAAAAUUAUGUGCACUUCAAGUCAAUUUUUUUAGCAUCCGAUUGCUUCAGUUUUGCGAAAUGAAAAAAAAAAAUGCAGUCACUGACACCAACUUCAAUCAAACAGUGACGGGCACCGGGAUUCAGUGACCUGACAUAUGAAUGAGAAGCUAAAGUGCUCUCAAAGAUUUAAAAGGAGGUAUAAAAAUCCUAAAACUUUUUGUCUUGUUCACCUUCGUGAUACCAUUAACAGCUUGGCAUAACAGUCAGUUUGCGGAAAGUCAUGACUAAAAUUGGUGAAGCAGUAUCUAUGUCUGAAUUGUGGCUUGAACAAAAGUUAGAACCAUGUUGCAGCCCGUCUAUGAGCUUAAAAAGUUGCCUUAAAUGCAACUUGUUAUUCAUGCCAUCUUAGCAUGACCUGAGCUAUGUAGCGUAAAUGGCUUACAGCGAGAUUCGAAUGCUGAAGACCUUUGUUACACAGGCAACUAGUUGUACGAAUAGUGCCCGACUACACCGAGUCCUUUUGUGUGGGUGAGCAACAUGCCGUUUCGCAAUGACAGCAGUGCAACGAAGUGCUUCAGUGAUCAUUAAUUCAGUGAACAGCAGUGAAACUGCUCGAGUGGUAACUGUCACAAGAACAGCUAAUCAAGCAUAACCUUGCACAUGGCACUGAAUUGAAAGUGCAACUAGGAGACCUGUGUAUCUUGAUGCAGAACAAACCAAGUUUGCAGUAGCAACUCUGAUACAGACAGUGCUUGUAAGAUUGUCUUGAACCAGUAUGCAUCAAGAACUGCAAUUGGUCCAACAAAAGAUGGUACAACCUGUUGCUGAUGUGAUAACAAAGAACUUCUGCAUUCCAAUGUAACACUGCUAGAACAUUCUAUAAAUCCUGUAUAAUGCAUGAUAGGUAGUCUUCUGUAAAGGGCAAACUGACAGCAAAAAGUUGGCAGGCAAUGUUUGGUACAAUGUCAGUACACAGGAAACAGUGAAUAGAAUUUUCACAGAUCUCACACUAGGAAUGUUGCUGACAAUGUUUAAAUAUGUCCACAAAAGGGGCAAGCACUUUGCCACGUAACACACCUUGGCAGUUCACCUUGUGUACUUUGAAAAAGUGUCACAGAAAACAACACGUAAAGAUUUUUUUUGCAUGAAUAUGCCAAAUGUGGUUUGGGUAACUCGCUUGAUAACAAGUGAUGCCAAUGACAACAUGUGUUAGUCAUUUGAGUGCCAGUCGGCAAACAAAUUGUCACGCAGUAAUAAAACAACGCCGUUACCAAAUCCUAGCUCUCUGCAAUGCCUUAAAUUUCAACACACAGUGCAUCAUGUAUCGCAUUGCAUGUGGCACAUCAGAGCAUUUGAAAUAACAUGCGAAUCUAUUAGUACCAGCAGGAAUGAUAACUGUCAACUUGCUCUGAAACAACUACUUUGACACUCAAAUCAUGUUUAACUUGAACAAUUGGGCCCUGUAGUUCUGUCAUUCUGACUCCAACUUGGUUUAGGAACGUUUAGAAACAGCCAUGCAAGUCCUCCAACGCAUCCCAAAUGUCAGAAUGACUGGUAGUAUUCGUCCAAGACAUCCAACGACAACUUCACCUUCUUCACUGUACUUUCCACCAGAUGAGUUUUUGGUUACACUGUACUUUAUUCUUUUUGUUCUGCCGGAGGUAAACAACUGUCUAAGUGGAACAACUUACAAAGCAACUAACUACUUCACAAAACCUAUAAUUUACCGGCAUAUUCCUAUUCCAAGAUGAGUCGAUACUGAAGGCUAGAGAAGCUUCUUUGGAAAUAGGCCUAGCAGCACAGCUACUCUAAUAAUACUUCAGCUCACCUUAACAGAUAGAUGUGGGCAUUUAUGUAUGACUUCAGCAAAAUUU
rnacentral:lncRNA from 1 species